rnacentral:tRNA from 1 species
GCCCGCGUGGUGAAAUUGGCAGACACGCCAGACUUAGAAUCUGGUUCCUUACGGAGUGGGAGUUCAAGUCUCUCCGCGGGCA